rnacentral:rRNA from 1 species
UUAAAGGGCCGCGGUAUUCUGACCGUGCGAAGGUAGCAUAAUAAUUAGUCUCCUAAUUAGAGGCUUGUAUGAAUGGUCGGACAAGAUGGAAACUGUCUCAAUACAAUAAAUAAAAUUUAAUGUCUAAGUAAAAAAGCUUAGAUAUCUUGGAGUGACGAUAAGACCCUAUAAAGCUUUAUGAUAUUCUUUUUUAGUAUAAAUUGUGAUAUUACUAAAAUACUUUAAAACCUAUAUCAUUUUACUGGGGCGGUAAAAGUAUAUUGAAGAAUAACUGCUUUUAAUUUAUAAAACAAUUAUAAUUGAUAUUCAUUUGAUCCAUUAAUAAUGAUCAUAAGAACAAGUUACUUUAGGGAUAACAGCGUAAUUUUUUUUGAGAGUUCUUAUCGAAAAAAAAGUUUGCGACCUCGAUGUUGAAUUAAGGUUACCUUAAGGUGCAGCCGUUUUA